rnacentral:rRNA from 1 species
AACGAACGCUGGCGGCAUGCUUAACACAUGCAAGUCGAACGGACAGGCCCUGCUUUUGUCGGGUGCCCGAGUGGCGAAGGGGUGAAAAACACGUGAGUCUCCUGCCUUUGACUGUGGGAUAACUUCAAGAACCUGGGGAUACUACCGGAUAGGAGAUCCUGCUGCAUGGUGGGGGUUGGAAAGUUUCGGCGGUUGGGGAUGGACUCGGGGCUAAUCAGCUUGUUGGUGGGGUAGUGGCUUAGCAGGGCUUCGACGGGUAGCCGGCCUGGGAGGGGAGCCGGCCACGAUAGGACUGAGAUACGGCCCAGACUCCUACGGUAGGCAGCAGUGGAGAAGAUUACACAAUGGGCGGGAGCCUGAUGCAGCAACGCCGCGUUCGGUAUGACGGCCUGCGGGUUGGAAAGCGCUUUCGCCUGUGACGAAGCGUUAGUGACGGUACCGGGUAAAGAAGCACCGGCUAACUACGUG